GUUGUCAUGCCAAUGGCACUGCCCGGUAGCUAAAUGCGGAAGAGAUAAGUGCUGAAAGCAUCUAAGCACGAAACUUGCCCCGAGAUGAGUUCUCCCUGACCCUUUAAGGGUCCUGAAGGAACGUUGAAGACGACGACGUUGAUAGGCCGGGUGUGUAAGCGCAGCGAUGCGUUGAGCUAACCGGUACUAAUGAACCGUGAGGCUUAACCUUACAACGCCGAAG
rnacentral:rRNA from 1 species